UGGGUUUAAAGGGAGCGUAGGCUGGAGAUUAAGUGUGUUGUGAAAUGUAGACGCUCAACGUCUGAAUUGCAGCGCAUACUGGUUUCCUUGAGUACGCACAACGUUGGCGGAAUUCGUCGUGUAGCGGUGAAAUGCUUAGAUAUGACGAAGAACUCCGAUUGCGAAGGCAGCUGACGGGAGCGCAACUGACGCUUAAGCUCGAAGGUGCGGGUAUCAAACAGGAUUAGAUACCCUGGUAGUCCGCACAGUAAACGAUGGAUGCCCGCUGUUGGUACCUGGUAUCAGCGGCUAAGCGAAAGCAUUAAGCAUCCCACCUGGGGAGUACGCCGGCAACGGUGAAACUCAAAGGAAUUGACGGGGGCCCGCACAAGCGGAGGAACAUGUGGUUUAAUUCGAUGAUACGCGAGGAACCUUACCCGGGCUUGAAUUGCAGAGGAAGGAUUUAGAGAUAAUGACGCCCUUCGGGGUCUCUGUGAAGGUGCUGCAUGGUUGUCGUCAGCUCGUGUCGUGAG
rnacentral:rRNA from 1 species